UACAGGGGGAUAACAGUUGGAAACGACUGCUAAUACCGCAUAAGCGUCACAGGAUUGCAUGAUCCAGUGUGAAAAACUCCGGUGGUAUGAGAUGGACCCGCGUCUGAUUAGCCAGUUGGCGGGGUAACGGCCCACCAAAGCGACGAUCAGUAGCCGACCUGAGACGGGUGACCGGCCACAUUGGGACUGAGACACGGCCCAAACUCCUACGGGAGGCAGCAGUGGGGAAUAUUGCACAAUGGGGGAAACCCUGAUGCAGCGACGCCGCGUGAGCGAAGAAGUAUUUCGGUAUGUAAAGCUCUAUCAGCAGGGAAGAAGAAUGACGGUACCUGACUAAGAAGCACCGGCUAAAUACGUG
rnacentral:rRNA from 1 species